GUAGCCGAUGAUUAAUUAAUCAGUGUGCUCUAGUGGUGUCGUUAAACAAAACAAACUUCUUCGUAUUCUAAUUAUAUUUUUUCGAGUUAUCAUUUUAUACUUAUACUAGUUUUUUUUUUUUUUUUUUUAAAGUAUAGGUUUUUUUUUAGAUAGUCUCACAAUGCCAAUAUAUCGGGGGAAAAAAAUUAAAUGUUCCUUUCAAAAGAAUUGGAAGAGGAGGUCGAGUGGUGAAAGGCAAUGUAAAGAUGUCUAUUCAAGAGUUUCUACCAUCAAGUACCCGUAGUUCAACUUUUACACAGAGUGGUCAAUCUUUUGUGGAACAGACUGUACCAGAGCAAGCUGAAACCAGAUGGUGGAUGAAGACCUUUAGCAGCUGGAAUUUUAAAGAGUCAUGUGCCUCGGUUUCCAGGACAUUUCCGUAGAGAUAGUAGCGCGAAGAUUCCUGUGAACAUGUCGAUGUGUACAUUCAAGAAAAAAUAAUUGAAAAAAGAAAAAUUGGCAAGAGGACUGAAUAUUUAGUUAAGUGGGAGGAUUUGAUUCAGAUAACAAUACCUGGGAACCACAAGAAAAUAUUUUGGACCAAACUUUAAUCAAUGAAUUUAAUAACUUAAACAAGUAAAAUACACAUAACAUCAAAAUUUAUCCAUCUUCAGGCAUUGAAAUAAGUUGAGAACAGUUGUUCAGGUUACGACUUAUCGGUAAAGUUGAGAAUUUCUUGAUGAAAGUGAAGUAAUUAGUAGUGAACGUUUCUAGUGUUCAAGUUUGUUUUAUUCACAAUUUCAUUUUUAAACCAAAAAGAAAAAGUAUUGACGUUUUGACUCAUUGCUUUUUAUUUAUUUAUUUUAUACUAGCUAUUAAACACAACAUAUAUAAAUGUAUGUAAUAAAUGUGAGUGUGUGUGAGUGUGUGUGUGUGUCUGCCAGUGGAACAAUAAAGGAAUUUUUAUACUUCUGAAAUGAAAAAAACCCUGACUUGGUAAAAUAUUGAAACUGAAAGUGAGGAAAUCUGAAAGGGGAAAUCAGUGCCUCUGAAAUAUGUGACACCUACAUACAAAGUAUUAAUACAAUGAGAACAAUGAUAUGAAUAAAUCACAAAUAUACUAUACUGCUCAUCAUGCAUGUAUGUAAGGAAUUUAACAGCAAUAAUAAUCGGAAUCGUGAACUUGAUAAAUGUGUGGUAACCUAUAGGUUACCAGGACCGUGUUUUGUAGUAACCUGUAAAUGGGUUUCCAGACACAUUCCUUAUUUCAAUGCCUGAUCAUGAGACACUGAUGUAAAUCAUUCUAGAAUAUAUAAGUUUGUCUUAAUGUUUCUCAACCAUUUGUAAUCAAAGAUAUUAUCGUUUUUAAAUUAUGCUCUGUAGUUGUUUGUAUUUAUGUAGCCAAAUCCAUAGCAACUAAUUUGAUCAUUUUAUGUUAUGGAUGUGCAAUAGUUCACCAAGUAAUUCUGUUCUUCAUAACCAUUAACAUAAGUUUUUAAAAUGAGCCUGAGAAAUUAAAUAUUCUUAUCUGAACAACAUUGUUUAACUUUAUAUUUGGUAAACAAAUACUGCAUUAGACAAUUGCUUUCUAUUAAAUACUGGUAUAAAAGGAAAAUCCUGAUACCAAUUGAAAUCCAAAUUUAAAGUUGAAAUUGUUGCCACACUGAAACAUAACACAAAUCUGGGUACCUCAUUUGUAGAGGUUUUGGCGAAAGUGACAGAUUUUGUAGGGGUUAAUGUCCCCAAUAAUAUUAUUGAAAACCCCUGGACAUUAACCCUGCCCAUUUUGCCAUUUCAAAUUCGGCACAUAGUAUUAGGGACUAAUAACCCAGUUAUUAAAAAGACUUUAUUUCAAGAUACCAGUAAUGACAUUUAUAAUAAUUUUACCCAUAUUAUUAUACAGAUGGGUCCAAGGAUCCAAUAUCUGGAAGGACAGGAUCUAAUUGAUGAAAUAUUGAUAUUUUGUUUUCAACUUUUGGAUGGAGAAAAUGAAAUUAUUCUAGAAGGGGUACCGGCCCAUAUAGGAAUUUUUGUAAUUGAAAUGGCUGACUGCCUUGCCAAAGAGGCUCUAUUAGAAUUUUCAGUUAACAAAAAUAUAUGCCUAGGCAUGUCAGAAAUCAUGUCCCUUACUACAUCAAAGCUUAAUAAAAAUUGGCAGGAGGAGUAGGACCAAACCACAAGAUAUUGGCACCAAGCUUUGAAAACGAGGGUAGAUGCCCCUGGUCCAGUUCGAGAGAAUAAUAAAAACACAAAAAUUAUUACAAAGUAAGAACAGGGAUGUCGGCUGCCCUGGCAUUUGUACAGAAUGGGGCUAAAAGAAUCCCCUAAUUGUUUAAUUUGUAAAGUUGAAGAAGAUGUCAAGCAUUUCUUAAUAAUUUGACCAAUAUCGCUCCAUAUGUUUUGGUAUUCUUCAAGGUUUAGGACUCCACCCAACUCCCAGGGAACUACUCUGCCCCAACAAAACAAAUAGUGAUGUUGUUUUUAAAGCAGUGUUGCAACAUGUCAUGGACACUGGGGUGCCAAUAUAAUGGGCACUGGCCCUUGCAUACAAUAAAAUAACUUCAUUUAUGGAAUAAUAAGGUGGAAAUGGGCUCUCCACCAUGAGGUAACAGGUACUGACACUCGGUGGUGGGGUAGUUCCUUGUCCCCCUGGAAAAGUAAAUCAAAUAAAAAUAAACUUAAAUUACAACUCCUUCCCACCACGAGCUAACGGGUACUGACACUUGGGAUGGAGUAGGACCUGUUCUUUACACAGAUUCCCCCCCCCCCCCCCCCCCCCCCCAUUUUUGCUUGUACAUGCAGUGAGGUGAUGGAAGCCCAUCAGAAAUGUGUGAAUAGGUUGAAGUAGAACUGAAUUUAUUUUUCUAAAUGAAGAAAAUUUCAAUAUGCUUUUUUUAUAUAGCAUUGGUUGAAAUGAGUUUUCUUUUUUGUGUGCUAAAUAUUAUUUUAUAGUAAAAGACAUAUAUUUAUAAAAUGUAUAAGUAUGUUAAAAGCACUUUUAAAACUGGAGAUAUAAUGCAGUUUUGCAAUUAAUAUGUUUAGGUAUAUGUGGGACAAUUGGAUUGUGAUUCCAGUAAAAAAAAUAAAAAAUACUAGGUAUGCUUUGUUGUUUAAUAAAUACAAUGUACUUU
rnacentral:lncRNA from 1 species